rfam:Stachybotrys chartarum IBT 40288 unplaced genomic scaffold scaffold1100, whole genome shotgun sequence.
GGGCGCUUGGCUUAGUGGUAAAGCGCUCCCUUAGCAUGUUCUAAACAUCUGGGAGAGGUCCAGGGUUCGAUUCCCUGAGUGUCCA